UAAAAAAAAAAAAAAAAAACACCACAUCUUCAAUGUUCAACUUAAAUUUGUAUACAAUAGAUAUUGGAAUUGUUGAAAUUAAAAUACUGUCAAGUAAGAUAAAUGAAAUUUCUUUUAGUAUAAAGUUCACAGCCUGUAUGAAAUAAAGUAAAAUACUAAAUAGCUUGGAUACAUAAUUAGAUGGACUGUAAUUGGCUAUUCUUUUUCUGAAGUAGGUAUUAGGUAGUUUGUUGUUUUUGUGACUGUAGGAUUAAAAUGAUUAAACACUAUUUCAAGAACAAAACUCAAGCCUACAAACAUCUGCAUGCCAAUAUUCAACAAAUAUGUAAGUCCCUAAAUAUACCAGAUCUUUUUUUGUUUACAAAUCAUAAACUUAUGCAAAUAAGGUUCUAAAAUUGUCAUGAAAUAAAAAAAACAAAAAAACUGUAGAACCUAUGUACACAAAUAAAAAACAAAAACAAAACUAUCACAAAUCAAAAUUAACAGGUGAGCCUUCAAAGGCUUUAAAUGAAAAAUUAAAUUUUUGUUUAAAUUAAAUUUUAAAUGCUAAAUGUGGAAGAUAGGCUAGACUACAAUAUAUUUCAUACAAUAUAUUUUAAACACUUGAGAUUAGGAUCUUGUUAAGAGAAUUUUUUUUAUAUGGACAAAAAACUGAGAGAUUAUGUUGUAGGCCUACAAGGGACAGGCAGACUGUAAAAAGAAUAGUUAGAAAGAAAAAAAAAAGCAUUUUAGUUAACUUUUAAAAGGCCUAUAGAUGCUUAAAUUAUAAUUGCUACUCCAAGACAGGAAAUGACAGCAGACACUGGUUACACCAGCAAAAGGUUACAAAGGUAGGAGGGUGAUGUGUGAUCAUCACAACUAUUUAACAAAUUGCUGGAAGGUAGGCCUCCAUCCUAUAAGAGAUAUUUGUAGAACAUUAAAAAAAACAAAAAAACACUUUACUUUUUCUUAAAAGAGUCAAUCAGGCCUAAAUGUUUCAAACUAAAUUAUUUUCAAACAGAAAUAAAAUUGAUACAACCUAAACAGGACAACUAUAAUACAAGUAAAUGCAAAAGGUAUCCUAAUAUAAGUACUGUAAUACAGGAGUAUACUUUGCAAUUUCAGAAACGUGUCUAUAAUAAAAAGGAACAAUAACUAAAUACUGUUUAUGUAGAAGCAAGGUAGCCUUGAACACCUUUCAAUUUUGUCCUCAAACAUGCAAAGACUAAAGGUUCUCACUUUGAAACUGUUAAUGAAAAGAACUUUAUUUUUUCCCCAAAAAAUUUCUAUCAACUUGUAGAGAAUGUUAGGCUACGGUAUUUGAACUUGACAUUCUUUAAAAAAACAAAACAUAAAAUAGAAAAUUUAACAUUUUAGCUAGCCAAAACCUGAACAUUUGUAGUGAACAAAUAUCCAUCAAGCAUAAAAUAAAAACAACAACAUAAAAAUAUUAAAUGAACACAUUUAUUUUUUGUAUAGCUAGAAAUGUAAAGAGACGAUCUUGUUAGCCAACCUGUAGAAUGUAAAGAAAUGGUUUGGUACAACCAAAGUAUAAACAAAAGGUGGCUAGCUACCACUGAGACUGGCAUUACAACUGCAAGUGAUUUAGACUAUUUACAAGUUAAAAGUAAAAAAUCUGAUUUGUAUUUAUAUUAAAUUAAGAUGCUAAAUCACAAACUAAAAAAAAAUAACAAAAAAAAAAAGAAACAAAAAAAAAAAACAACUAGAUAUCAAUGUUUUAAAAAAGGUAUGUAAAUCAAUAUAUAUAUAUAUAUAUGUCUGAGCCUCCAACCAGAAUGUCACUUCAAAAGUGGACAAACAUCCAAUAUAUAUAUAUGUCUGAGCCCUCCAACCGGAAUGUCACUUCAAAAGUGGACAAACAUCCAAUAUAUAUAUAUGUCUGAGCCCUCCAACCGGAAUGUCACUUCA